rnacentral:misc_RNA from 1 species
CUGGAUUCGACGGGAUUCGCGAAACCCAAGGUGCAUGCCGAGGGGCGGUUGGCCUCGUUAAAAGCCGCAAAAUAAUAGUCGCAAACGACGAAAACUACGCACUAGCAGCUUAAUAACCUGCUUAGAGCCCUCUCUCCCUAGCCUCCGCUCUUAGGACGGGGAUCAAGAGAGGUCAAACCCAAAAGAGAUCGCGUGGAUACCCUGCCUGGGGUUGAAGCGUUAAAUCCAAUCAGGCUAGUUUGUUAGUGGCGUGUCUGUCCGCAGCUGGCAAGCGAAUGUAAAGACUAGA